GUAAAGGUGGGAAAGAAAAUGCACAUCAUUAUAACAUCACCACAUUGGAAAAUAUCGAGGCGGCAUACCAUCCUUAUUUUCAAGAAUCCAUGUCAAUAGAAGAAUGCAGCAAGUCUUGUUUGGAGGACUGCAACUGCGGGGCAGCGCUAUUCUCUAAAAACACUUGCAAUAAACUAAAGCUUCCACUGAGGUAUGUAAUUCGAAAAGGUAAAUCAUCAGAUCAGGAGACGUCCACCACAGCUUUAUUGAAGGUAGGCAUUGGAGGAAAUGAUGGCAAGAAUAGGACUGAACCUAUCCUUUUAAAGCCUACCAUUACUGUUAUUAGAAGCGAAAAAUCAGUGCUGCCUGAAAUUCUUAUGACUUCUUGUCUUGUCCUCUUUUCAUGUAUUAACCUUAUAGUUUCUUGUUUAUUCAUUUACAAAUUCCGAUCCAUAAGAUACAAAAGGCUAUUGGAAAAUGGGGAGGAUGGUCUGA
rnacentral:misc_RNA from 1 species